rnacentral:misc_RNA from 1 species
UGAGGCCACAGUCGAUAGUGC